UAAAGUGCUAGUUUAAAUUACAUGUUUGC
rnacentral:piRNA from 1 species